GGAUGUGUGAGCGAAAUUGGAAUCGCAGCAGACUUAAAAUCUGUGGCUUUGGCAUUCCUGGUUCGAGUCCAGGGCAUCCA
rnacentral:tRNA from 1 species